CCCUUAGAUGUUCUGAACCGCACGCGUGUUACACUGAUGCAUUCAACGAGCUUUACCUUGGCCGAGAGGCCUGGGAAAUCUUUUUAGCAUGCAUCGUGAUAGGGAUUGAUUAUUGCAAUUAUUAAUCAUGAACGAGGAAUUCCUAGUAAACGCAUUUCAUCAAAAUGCAUUGAUUACGUCCCUGCCCUUUGUACACACCGCCCGUCGCUACUACCGAUUGAACGUUUUAGUGAGGCAUUUGGACCGACGCAUCUCAGUUUAACCGCUGGUUUGUGUUGGAAAGACUUCCAAACUUGAGCGUUUAGAGGAAGUAAAAGUCGUAACA
rnacentral:rRNA from 1 species